AGGUCAGGAGUUCGAGAUCAGCCUGACCAACACAGUAAUGAGGAUCCCGCCACUGCACUCUAGCCUGGGCGACAAAGCUAGACUUAAGUGUUCAUAGGUUCACUGGCUACUAUGUUGAGAACAGACUAAAGGGGUGCAAGCUGGAAAAAUAGGAGGUAGUACUCAGAGACUGAAAGGAAUGAAGUGAGAUUACACAGGAGUUGCAGUGAUUGGGGUAAAAGGCUUGAGAAUUGCUUGUCUCAGGUGGACUUACUUGGCUGCUGCUUGCAGACCACAGGCUCUGAUAAUCUGGACUGAGAUGGAAACAGUUCGGGCAGCAAG
rnacentral:lncRNA from 10 species